GACCCCGUGGUGGAAUCGGUAGACACUACAGACUUAAAAUCUGUUGUCCUUGUGGCGUGCCGGUUCGAGUCCGGCCGGGGUCACCA
rnacentral:tRNA from 1 species